UGGGGAAUAUUGGACAAUGGGCGAAAGCCUGAUCCAGCCAUGCCGCGUGUGUGAAGAAGGUCUUCGGAUUGUAAAGCACUCUAAGUUGGGAGGAAGGGCAGUAAGCGAAUACCUUGCUGUUUUGACGUUACCGACAGAAUAAGCACCGGCUAACUCUGUGCCAGCAGCCGCGGUAAUACAGAGGGUGCAAGCGUUAAUCGGAAUUACUGGGCGUAAAGCGCGCGUAGGUGGUUCGUUAAGUUGAAUGUGAAAGCCCCGGGCUCAACCUGGGAACUGCCUCCAUAACUGGCGGGCUAGAGUAGGGCAGAGGGGGGUGGAAGUUCCUGUGUAGCGGUGAAAUGCGUAGAUAUAGGAGGGAACACCAGUGGCGAAGGCGACCACCUGUGCUCAUACUGACACUGAGGUGCGAAAGCGUGGGGAGCAAACAGG
rnacentral:rRNA from 1 species